ACUACAAAUUGUUCGCCAAACAACUACGAGUAAUACUUAAAACUUAAAAGACUUGACGGUACUUCAUCCCGACCUAGAGGAGCCUGUCCAAUAACCGACAAUCCACGAUUAACCCAACCCCUUCUUGCCCCACAGUCUAUAUACCGCCGUCGUCAGCUUACCUUGUAAAAGAAAUAAAGUGAGCUAAACAGUACCACACUAAAACGACAGGUCGAGGUGUAACUCAUGAAGAGGACCAAGAUGGGCUACAUUCUCCAACCGAGAACACGAACAACACUAUGAAAUUAAUGUUUAAAGGCGGAUUUAGCAGUAAGAUAANAAUAA
rnacentral:rRNA from 1 species